UAGUAGCUGCGAGCGAACAGGGAAGAGCCCAGCACCGAAUCCCGCGGCCGAUAUCGGGCGCCGGGAAAUGUGGUGUUCGGGAGGGUCCAUUAUCCCGAAAUUAUGCGAUGCGUCCAAGUCCUUCUUGAACGGGGCCACAGCCCAUAGAGGGUGCCAGGCCCGUAGUGACUGUUGCUGAUUGCGGGAGGAUCUCUCCUUAGAGUCGGGUUGCUUGAGAGUGCAGCCCUAAGUGGGUGGUAAACUCCAUCUAAGGCUAAAUAUGACCACGAGACCGAUAGCGAACAAGUACCGUGAGGGAAAGUUGAAAAGCACUUUGAAGAGAGAGUUCAAGAGUACGUGAAACCGUUUAGGGGUAAACCUGAAAAACCCGAAAGGUCGAAGGGAGAAAUUCAUUCGCGUUUCGACGUAGGUAUAAGACGGGGUAGAGUGACGAAAAUGUGUUCGCACAUUUUUGCGCCCCCUGUAUUAUUUAAUCGACGACGAACGCGUGCACUUUUCUCCUGGUAGGACGUCGCAAUCCGUUGGGUGUCGGUCUACGGUUCGCGGAGGAGCCCGUUCUGAUAUUUCGAUUGAUGAGCGGACCCGUGUUAUUCCUGACCGACUCGCUCGACGGUAUACAAAUGGUAUGUGGCCGCUCGCUUUGGAGCGUUCGACUCGUGGCAAGCGCGCCCGAUGCGUCGGCGGUCGGACCUAGUGCCGAUCCUGACCUCUGGUGACUGUUGGCCACGAUGUUCUCGGACAGAGCCGAUUACCGAUUUGCGACGCUAUAGCUUUGGGUACUUUCAGGACCCGUCUUGAAACACGGACCAAGGAGUCUAGCAUGUACGCAAGUCAUUGGGAAUCAUUAAACCUAAAGGCGCAAUGAAAGUAAAGGUCUUCCUUGCGAGGACCUAGGGAAGAUGUGCGGUUGACCGUUAAAAGUUGCCGUGCCGCAUUCCCGGGGCGUCUCAUUCUCAUUGCGAGAG
rnacentral:rRNA from 1 species